rnacentral:rRNA from 1 species
ACUCAAAUGAAUAGACGGGGACUUGCACAAGCAGUGGAUCAUGUGGUUUAAUUCGAUGAUAAACGAAGAACCUUACCAGGGUUUAAUCUAGCUGAAGCCAAGAAGAAACUUUUGGCGUCGCAAGACAGUUAGUCAGGUGAUGCAUGGCCGUCGUCAGUUCGUGGCUUGAGUUGUUCCCUUCAGUGGGGUAACGAACGCAACCCUCGUUGUCUGUUAUAUAUGUCAGGCGAGACUGCCCACGACACAGUGCGGGAUUUUCCAAAAGAAAAUCAUUUGCUGCGUCGUGGGAGGAAGGUGAGGAUGACGCCAGGUCAGCAUGUCCCUUAUACCCUGGGCUACACACGUGAUACAAUGGAUAUUACAACAGGACGCUAAGUCGAAAGAUGGAGCAAACCCUUAUAAAAGUAUCCUCAGUUCGGAUUGAGGUCUGCAACUCGACCUCAUGAAGCUGGAAUUGCUAGUAAUCGCAGGUCAGCUAUACUGCGGUGAAUACGUUCUCAAGUCUUGUACACACCGCCCGU